AGGAAACAGUUGAGCUUCUGCAGGCCUCUCAGAGUGUCCUUCAGCACAUCAGCCAGCUCCUUCUCCAGCUCUUCACACCUGCUGUCUGCAGUCACCGAGGU